UCGUGUGUGAAAGGCGCGGGCUCAACCCGCGGACGGCACAUGAUACUGCGAGACUAGAGUAAUGGAGGGGGAACCGGAAUUCUCGGUGUAGCAGUGAAAUGCGUAGAUAUCGAGAGGAACACUCGUGGCGAAGGCGGGUUCCUGGACAUUAACUGACGCUGAGGCACGAAGGCCAGGGGAGCGAAAGGGAUUAGAUACCCCUGUAGUCCUGGCAGUAAACGGUGCACGCUUGGUGUGCGGGGAAUCGACCCCCUGCGUGCCGGAGCUAACGCGUUAAGCGUGCCGCCUGGGGAGUACGGUCGCAAGAUUAAAACUCAAAGAAAUUGACGGGGACCCGCACAAGCGGUGGAGUAUGUGGCUUAAUUCGAUGCAACGCGAAGAACCUUACCUGGGCUUGACAUGUAAUGAACAACAUGUGAAAGCAUGCGACUCUUCGGAGGCGUUACACAGGUGCUGCAUGGCCGUCGUCAGCUCGUGUCGUGAGAUGUUUGGUUAAGUCCAGCAACGAGCGCAACCCCUGUUGCCAGUUACCAGCACGUGAAGGUGGGGACUCUGGCGAGACUGCCCAGAUCAACUGGGAGGAAGGUGGGGACGACGUCAGGUCAGUAUGGCCCUUAUGCCCAGGGCUGCACACGUACUACAAUGCCCAGUACAGAGGGGGCCGAAGCCGCGAGGCGGAGGAAAACUCCUAAAAACUGGGCCCAGUUCGGACUGUAGGCUGCAACCCGCCUACACGAAGCCGGAAUCGCUAGUAAUGGCGCAUCAGCUACGGCGCCGUGAAUACGUUCCCGGGUCUUGUACACACCGCCCGUCACAUCAUGGAAGCCGGUCGCACCCGAAGUAUCUGAAGCCAACCGCAAGGAGGCAGGGUCCUAAGGUGAGACUGGUAACUGGGAUGAAGUCGUAACAAGGUAGCCGUAGGGGAACCUGCGGCUG
rnacentral:rRNA from 1 species